CCGGAUAAUAUUUUUGAACCGCAUGGUUCAAAAGUGAAAGACGGUCUUGCUGUCACUUAUAGAUGGAUCCGCGCUGCAUUAGCUAGUUGGUAAGGUAACGGCUUACCAAGGCAACGAUGCAUAGCCGACCUGAGAGGGUGAUCGGCCACACUGGAACUGAGACACGGUCCAGACUCCUACGGGAGGCAGCAGUAGGGAAUCUUCCGCAAUGGGCGAAAGCCUGACGGAGCAACGCCGCGUGAGUGAUGAAGGUCUUCGGAUCGUAAAACUCUGUUAUUAGGGAAGAACAUAUGUGUAAGUAACUGUGCACAUCUUGACGGUACCUAAUCAGAAAGCCACGGCUAACUACGUGCCAGCAGCCGCGGUAAUACGUAGGUGGCAAGCGUUAUCCGGAAUUAUUGGGCGUAAAGCGCGCGUAGGCGGUUUUUUAAGUCUGAUGUGAAAGCCCACGGCUCAACCGUGGAGGGUCAUUGGAAACUGGAAAACUUGAGUGCAGAAGAGGAAAGUGGAAUUCCAUGUGUAGCGGUGAAAUGCGCAGAGAUAUGGAGGAACACCAGUGGCGAAGGCGACUUUCUGGUCUGUAACUGACGCUGAUGUGCGAAAGCGUGGGGAUCAAACAGGAUUAGAUACCCUGGUAGUCCACGCCGUAAACGAUGAGUGCUAAGUGUUAGGGGGUUUCCGCCCCUUAGUGCUGCAGCUAACGCAUUAAGCACUCCGCCUGGGGAGUACGACCGCAAGGUUGAAACUUAAAGGAAUUGACGGC
rnacentral:rRNA from 1 species